rnacentral:rRNA from 1 species
AGUGAACGCUGGCGGUAGGCCUAACACAUGCAAGUCGAACGGCAGCACAGUAAGAGCUUGCUCUUACGGGUGGCGAGUGGCGGACGGGUGAGGAAUACAUCGGAAUCUACUUUUUCGUGGGGGAUAACGUAGGGAAACUUACGCUAAUACCGCAUACGACCUACGGGUGAAAGCAGGGGAUCUUCGGACCUUGCGCGGUUGAAUGAGCCGAUGUCGGAUUAGCUAGUUGGCGGGGUAAAGGCCCACCAAGGCGACGAUCCGUAGCUGGUCUGAGAGGAUGGUAAGCCACACUGGAACUGAGACACGGUCCAGACUCCUACGGGAGGCAGCAGUGGGGAAUAUUGGACAAUGGGCGCAAGCCUGAUCCAGCCAUACCGCGUGGGUGACGAAGGCCUUCGGGUUGUAAAGCCCUUUUGUUGGGAAAGAAAAGCAGCAGGUUAAUACCCCGCUGUUCUGACGGUACCCAAAGAAUAAGCACCGGCUAACUUCGUG